rnacentral:sRNA from 1 species
UUUUUCUUCUGUCAACAUGUAAGUUUAAAUUAUAACAACUUCGUUCUGAUUGCGAGUCGUACUACGAAACCAAACAAUUAGUCU